rnacentral:rRNA from 1 species
UACGAAGGGGGCUAGCGUUGCUCGGAAUGACUGGGCGUAAAGGGCGCGUAGGCGGUUCGUACAGUCAGACGUGAAAUUCCCGGGCUCAACCUGGGGACUGCGUUUGAUACGUGCGGGCUUGAGUUCGGAAGAGGGUCGUGGAAUUCCCAGUGUAGAGGUGAAAUUCGUAGAUAUCUGGAGGAACACCGGUGGCGAAGGCGGCAUUCUGGACCGAUAUUGACGCUGAGGAGCGAAAGCCAGGGGAGCAAACGGG